CUGGAUGACCUGUGGUAACUACUGCACCGCAGCUCUGGCAUACUAAUGGAGGUGAUAGGCGGUCCUGAGGAGGGCGAGACGGGGGCCUGUCUGUACUGA
ensembl:lncRNA